rnacentral:lncRNA from 1 species
UCCACUGGGUAUUGGCAGAUAAAACUAAGUUACGUUACACACUUAUGGCCUCAAGAUCAAAAUAAGCAGAAUUUUCCUGGAUUAAGUGUCUCUUGCCCAAGUUAAUGAUACAUAAUGAGAUAACUAUCAGGUCACUUAGUCAAACAGUAAUUCUCGACCAAUCAUAGGUGGGAUACAACCCCACCCUUUAUCGAAUGUCCGGACAGGAGUCCGUGAGGAAACUGGGAGCAGCAGAGGAGGACGCCUCGAGCAGGUGCCGUGAGCACGCGUUGUCAAUAAAAACGGCUGACCCUACUUCCCUGAGAACGUUGUGGAUGUGACACAGGCGUACUGUGUCUUGCACUGACCGCACACGCCCACUGUGAAGAAAACUAGCAACCGCGCAGACCCUCGUUCGUCCAAUUAUUCUCGCUGUCAGUCUUGUUACCCAAGGGACUGCGGUCAGAAGCCCGGCAGAGACGCCCGUCUUGGGCGUCUGUCGGGCGGUGACGAGGUACCGCGAACACUGCGGACCACGACGUAGGCUGCUGCUCCUCCUCACGUUGGCAGAGGAACGUCAAGGCCCCUCUGCAAGGCUGUAAGGCUAGAACUGGACGUUAACGUGCUAUCAUUUCAAGCUUCAGUUGAAAAGCACAAAACGAACUCCUUCAUGGGCUCAGGAAACCUGGGAACUCUACUCCAAGUGCUUUGGGUUUCUAAAGUUCUUUUUUAGAAAAUCAAUAGCGAUAUCAGGCAGUACUACACGAAGAGAAAUUUCCAAAGCAUUUCUAGAAUCCUCUAUCUUUCAAUAGAAAGCUUGAUUUUAAGCUUAAUGGGCAGGGGUCCCAUUGAUGCAAGGGAUUGAUUCUCCUUCCCAUUGUUCAAGAGGUCCUUUUAUUUGUUUAAGAAUAUCAUGACAGUGCGUCCAUCAAUUCAGAGAAAAAGGAACCUUCAACACUGCAUUUGUUACUGCUUAAAAGAGAUGUGGCAUAAAGAUAAAAAGGUAUGCACAUGCAAUGACCAGAACUUUCGAACAUAGCUUUGGCACACAGAAAUUUUUAAUUUGUCUGUAGGUAUCAGCUGAAUUCUAUUUUUUCAUAUUGAACUAUUUCUGUUUCUACUUUAACACAGCAACUAAGUAAAUUCAAUUUUGAAAGACUAACCACUAUUUUAUGGAACUGUCUGAUAGUCUUUUAUAAUACUAUUUUUAUAUUUGAGCAUAAAGAAUUUUUUUG